UGUCGUUCCUCCACGUAGUUAAAGACCGAGAGAGUUGUCGGUUAAGCGCAUGCAUACGAGGGUUUGCGAACAGUAACAAUAACACUGAAGCGGAAUAAAAAUAAGGUUUCGUGGAAGAUGGUGUUAGGAAGGUAUUAGGCGACGUGCCCGCCUGCCUAAUAACCUAGCCCUAAUUGCUGUGUGUAACGUUUCCAGACCGUUUACCCUGCAACGUAUGGUGCAAAGUGCCGUAUUAAGACCUUUCCCUUAAGGAAAAGAAGAAGAAAAAAAGAAAAAAAAGGGGGGAAAAGAAAACAGGGUAAAGAGAAAAAGAUCAUGCAUAAACCUAAGCGUUUCACUGGAAGUAAAACGCGAGUUUAUCGCUUCCUUACAGAGAUGGAACCAAGGACAGCAAAUGCUGACGAGGAGAAGAGACGGACGAGCGUUUGCUUGCGGUUAAUACCGAAGGGACGGGAUGAAACAAGGAAGCCAGAAUGCAGCGGCCCCUCGAUAUCACCAGGAACUGCUACAGGAGGAGGCGUUCUGGCACGGGUAACUAGGGUAAGUAUGGCUAAUGACCGUUAGCAGUUAUUUCGGCCUCCCCGAGGCAGCGCUGAGGACUGAGUAACCCCUUCCUGCCCUGUGGCUGCUGUUGCCUGUAUCUGCCUUAGCUUUGCUUUGGCUGUUUCUCUUUUGUUUUGUUAUCGUACACGCAGCUACGGAAAGGAAUAGAUGUCAUACUUACUUUUUUAGAUUAAUUGCCACGGCUGAAGUUGAAGAGACCAAGAAACGUAAGCCGCGAAGGGGCACAUCUUGAAGAGAGGGGGCUAGACCUAGCGAUCCAGUUGUUCGUUUUGGUCGUCGCCUGUGAGGCCAGCAUGCAAGAGUAAGAGGAAGCUAGGAGCAGUCUCAAAAAGAGAUGGAACCAAGGACAGCAAAUGCUGACGAGGAGAAGAGACGGACGAGCGUUUGCUUGCGGUUAAUACCGAAGGGACGGGAUGAAACAAGGAAGCCAGAAUGCAGCGGCCCCUCGAUAUCACCAGGAACUGCUACAGGAGGAGGCGUUCUGGCACGGGUAACUAGGCUCUCCGAGCUGAAUCCUAGCCCUGAAGGAAAAAGCACUGGGGGGAGGCUACUCGGACACCUGCCAUGUCGAGGGCAGGGGCAGGAGCUGACCCUUCCCCGACGGACGGAUGGACGGACAGACGCUGGUGCGGCGGUGACUCUUUGGAUAUCGUAGGUAAGGGGAGGCACGCUGGUGCCGAGCUCCAGGGCGGUUUGCCUGAACACGAUGCCUGAGGCAGGAGGUUAUGCAUUGUGUCCGGGGCUGGGAGCUGGUCCCCGAGUCCCAUGUACUUGGGAGUGCCUGCGCUUGCCAGGGAGCCCGGUGCUGUUCCCAGAGCUGCGGGGAAUUUCCCUUGCGUUGCCUGGACCCUCGGGGCUCUUGGGGGUGUUUCCCCUCAUCGCGAGGGCUGCCAGAGCCCCUCCAGGGCUGCGUGAGGUCCCCGAACCGCUCCCGGAUUUGCUUUUGGCACUCCGCAGUGUCGCUCGUGUGCCUGGGGCAGCCUGCAGGCGCCAUCCUGUCAGCCGCGUUGAGCCCUGCGGCGUGCCUGGUGAUCCCUCUGGUGUGUGCCAAGGCCCUUCCUCUGUAUUUUGGUCUGCCCCAGAGCCCUGCACUUGCCCUCUGAUGCCCUCAGGACCCCUCAGUUCACAUUCUGGGUUGCCCCCGAGCCCUCUGCGUGCCUUUCGGUGCGCCCCGUGGCCCUGUGUGUGUUUUGCGGCACGCCGCAGAGGUCUCUGUUUAGCUUUUUCUCCUGUCCUGGAGUUUUCUGGGUGCUUCUGGGUGUGCCCCAGGGCCCUCCUUUUGGUGCCCCCAGAGUCACUCUGUUUGCUCUAUCGUUGUUCUUUUUUUUUUUUUUUUUUUUUUCUUGACUUGUGUUGCACCCAGAGCUCUCGAUUUGUUCUCUUGUGCUCCGCAUACUCCCCUUUCCGCACUCUACACCCCAGGCAGGGCUCUCCCUUCAGCUCUCAGCAAGCUGCUGUCAGGAGAGUGGGGGUGCCUCUGCUGCCCUGGCAGCCCCAGCUGUCCCUGAAGGGGCUGAUGGCCAGGCCCCCUGCCCAGUUCCUGCAGGCCCACAGCUGCGGGCCCUGGGGCUGGGAUGAGUGCCAGGGGGAGCUGGGUGGCAGGACAGGCCCCAGGUGGGGCUGAUGGCAAGGGCAGGCCCACAUUUGGGGGCUGGGGCCGCAGUUGGGGGGAGCUGGCGCUGGGGCAGGAGCUGGGCAGCGGAGCUGCCACGGAGCACGGCCCUUCGGGACCAGCCCGGCGGCCGCCCCGCGGAGGAGGUGAGCGGGGCCGGGGGAGGCGCGCUGCAGGCUGCGGGUCCCGCAUGUGCCGGGGGUCCCGGCGGCUGGGAGCGU